rnacentral:lncRNA from 1 species
GUGGUUUAUAUUUUAAGCAAUUUAUUGCGUAUAUUACAAGUAUAUCUCGUCAGUCAUAAACAGAGCUAUAUUUUCAAAAAUGAUAAACAGCGGUACAAUAAGCAUAAACAGUUUGCACUUUUAUGUAUCUUAAAACGACAAUUGUAUAAUAUCAGUUCAAUUUGGAAGCCUCGAAAAGAACGAUUUUUAUGAAGUUUGCUUCCUUUGAUUUUGAAUAAGACUUAUUACCGGGUUUGAAAUGACAUGAGCAACACGACAGGUGCCUCGUAUAGAGCAGAAUCCUUCCGGAGCACCUGAGAUCAUUCCUAUGUUUGGUGUGGUUUGUAUUGCUCAGUCUUAAGUUUUUUUAUGUUGUAUUUUGUGAACUAUUGUUUUUAUAUUUGUCUUUUUAGUCUUUUAGCCAUGACGUUGUCUGUGUCUUUUCGACAUACGAGUUUGAUUGACCCUCUCCUUAUUGCUUUGCCAAAUGUUAGACCAAUGAUAAGUUGUUUUACAAAUAAAAGGUUGAAGAUACCACCUUAAGGUCUUAUUUAAAAUACGAG